UGAAUACGAGACGCUAAGGCGUCGAAGUAGUGUAUGUCAUACUUCCAAGAAAAGCUUGCACUGUCAUAGAUAAAAAACGCCUGUACCAUAACCGACACAGGUGGGUAGGUAGAGUAUACUAAGGGGCGCGAGAUAACUCUCUCUAAGGAACUCGGCAAAAUAACUCCGUAACUUCGGGAGAAGGAGUGCCUUAUUAUUAAGGCUGCAAUAACAAGAUCCAAGCAACUGUUUAUCAAAAACACAGGUCUCCGCUAAGUCGUAAGACGAUGUAUGGGGGCUGACGCCUGCCCAGUGCCAGAAGGUUAAAGAAGUUGGUUAGCAUUUGCGAAGCUGAUAACUGAAGCCCUGGUGAACGGCGGCCGUAACUAUAACGGUCCUAAGGUAGCGAAAUUCCUUGUCGGGUAAGUUCCGACCCGCACGAAAGGCGUAAUGAUUUGGAUACUGUCUCGGAGAGGGGCUCGGUGAAAUAGACUUGUCUGUGAAGAUGCGGACUACCUGCACCAGGACAGAAAGGCCCUAUGAAGCUUUACUGUAACUUGAAAUUGAAAUUGGACUUUAUUCGCGCAGCAUAGGUGGGAGGCGUUGAUUAUAAUCUUGUGGGAUUAUUGGAGCCAUCAGUGAGAUACCACUCUUGUAAUGUUAGAUUUCUAACUUUGAAUCAUUAUCUGGUCAAAGAACAGUUUCAGGCGGGCAGUUUGACUGGGGCGGUCGCCUCCUAAACGGUAACGGAGGCGUACAAAGGUUUCCUCUGAACGGUUAGAAAUCGUAUCUAGAGUGUAAAGGCAUAAGGAAGCUUGACUGUGAGACCUACAAGUCGAGCAGGGACGAAAGUCGGUCUUAGUGAUCUGACGGUACUGAGUGGAAAGGCCGUCACUCAACGGAUAAAAGUUACUCUAGGAUAACAGGCUGAUCUCCCCCAAGAGUUCACAUCGACGGGGAGGUUUGGCACCUCGAUGUCGGCUCAUCGCAUCCUGGGGCGGUAGUACGUCCCAAGGGUUGGGCUGUUCGCCCAUGAAAGCGGUACGCGAGCUGGGUUCAGAACGUCGUGAGACAGUUCGGUCCAUAUCCGGUGUAGGCGUUAGAAUAUUGAGAGGAGCCUUCUUUAGUACGAGAGGACCGAGAAGGACAUACCUCUGGUGUACCAGUUAUCGUGCCAACGGUAAACGCUGGGUAGCUAUGUAUGGAGUGGAUAACCGCUGAAAGCAUCUAAGUGGGAAGCCCACCUCAAGAUAAGUAUUCUCACU
rnacentral:rRNA from 1 species